rnacentral:rRNA from 1 species
UACGAGGGGGGCAAGCGUUGUUCGGAAUUAUUGGGCGUAAAGGGUGCGUAGGCGGUCGGGUAAGUCUGAUGUGAAAUCUCACAGCUUAACUGUGAAACUGCAUUGGAUACUAUCCGGCUUGAGGAAUGGAGGGGAGACUGGAAUACUUGGUGUAGCAGUGAAAUGCGUAGAUAUCAAGUGGAACACCAGUGGCGAAGGCGAGUCUCUGGACAUUUCCUGACGCUGAGGCACGAAAGCCAGGGGAGCAAACGGG